CCAGGGCUUAACUGACUGGUUGGUCCAAGAUAGUUCAUUCACAACUCUGGUGCCUUGGCAGGGACAGAUGGAAGGCUGGCACCAGCCAGGAUUCUGGGACAGCUGAGCCACUUUCUCACCCUAUAUAGUCUCAGGUCUAAUCUCUUUCCAUAUGACCUCUCCAUGUGGUAUUUCCAGCAGGGUAACUGGACUUCUUAAAUGGCAGGUUCCUCACAAAAGAAGAAACUUCCAGGCUUUCUUAAGGCUUAGGCUCAGUAACUGACACAGUGUCACUUCCAUUUCAUUGUAUGAGUUAGUGAGUCUCAGGGCCAGUCCAGAGUCAAUAUGGGACUAGACUGCAUAGCAGCGUGAGAGGCAUGGUCUAUUGAGAGCCAUCUUGGGAAAGUGACUACUGCAUUGAUAUUCAUUCUAUCGAAUGUGGAAAUGAUACUUGAUAUAUUAAAUCAUGCUUUGUGGAAGAAAACGUGUUGCCUUAUUAGUUCUGUGAAUCAUCAAGAUGCAUAGAUAUUGGGAGCAUCUAGAAGCUACACAUAUCCAGUGAAUCUAAGUGUUUCAAAAACAUGAUCAGGACCUCUAGGGGGGGAAAUCACAUUUUAUUCAAUGGUUACAUACACAAGAAAUAAAGCUCAGUAAAUAGAUGGGUAAAUUUAAUAUUCUCAGUAUAGCAAGUUAGUAAUAUCAUGUAUUGGAUAUUUAUUAAGAAUAGGCACUGGGCCAUCAUUAUUUAUACAUGAUUUUACUUAAUCUUCACAAAUACUCUAUGGGGCAAGUAUUAUUACCUCAAAUUUCCACAUGAGAAACUAAAGUUCCACGAGAUUUUGUAACUUGCCUAAGAUUGAACAUGUAGUAAUUGGAUGAGUCAAGAUGUAUACCUAAAUUGACCUGAUAUUGAAACCCUUGUGUUUUUAAACUCUUAUCAUUUUACUUGUUUUGUCUUUGCUCACUGUUUUCUUAAAUUGUUACAGAAUAAUCAUCCUUUUAAGUGGAAACAAGAGCCACAUCUCAUAUUCCCAUCUCUAAAGAUUUAGAACCCAUUUCCUACUUAGACAGCCUGCUGAAGUCAAGAUUUUAAAAUCCAGUUUUUAUCUUGGCAUGAUAGUCCAGACCAUUUCCCAGAGCUCUCAUAUCUACAAACAUAUGCCUCUGUGCUUAAACUUGAACUUCUUCCAAACCCCAAGGUUAUUAGUGAGUAAAAUCCUCCUUCUGGUUUUAUCUAGGCAUCUGGAAAGUUUCCCUUUGGCACUAGAGCCAUGAAUCACAACUUCUCAUUCGUGCCAUCUAAGGACAGAGAAAUGGAAUACCUGUGCUUGCAUUUUGUGGUAACGUGAUUUUGGAAACGUCUCACCAAAAAUCAGAACUGGAGAAGAGAAUAAACAUACCGAUUACUUGCAUGGCCGGUUCCACGUCUGUUGUGGCCUCUUCCAACAAUGACAGCAGCUUGGCUGAUAUCUGAUGCACGGAUUCAAUGUUGCUAAACAAGCUAUCCACGUCCAGCCGAUCAAUCUGAAGAAACACAAACACUGAGCACCAGCUGAUGGAGAGAGACGCAAUGUAUUUAGGACAUUUUCUCCUGCUAAACAGCUAACUUGUGUCUUCCUGGACUGAAAAGACAUGAAUCAGACUUAGAGAAAGAAAUCAUGGAGGAGGUACAAUACAGCAAAGAUAGUCUUCUCACCAAGAGGAAAGACACGGACCGGAUGACUUCCCAAAGUUCUCUUCCACUCUAACUUGUACAUGUAUAAUAUUUAUUUACGUUGCCUCGGGUUUCUCAGCAUGGUUUGCAGAUCGUUCCCCUGGUUACAUAAACACUGUCUAUAUUAAUUUAUAAAUUUCGACACUAACUGGUGACAAGCGGUUUGUAUGCAAAGACUUUGGUAUUUAAACGGUUAGAAAGGAAGCGAGGACACGAAGGAGCUAAUGAACAUCGAAAAGGUGGCAAAUAAACUCAUGGCAUAAAUUAACUACCUUGGCAUUCAUAGACGUUUCGUCUGAAUUCCUAAGCAUCUAUUUAAAGUUUUUUGUUUUGUUUUUUUUUAGAGAGAGAGAAAGAGAGGGCACAAACAGGGGAAGGGCAGAAAGAGAGGGAGAGAGAAAUCCAUGCAGGCUCUACACUGUCAGCGCUGAGCCUGUUGUGGGGCUUGAAUCCACGAACCAUGAGAUCAUGACAUGAACUGAAAUCAAGAAUCAGAUGCUUAACUGACUGAGCCACCCAGGCACCCCUUGAGCAUCUAUUUACUUAGUCAAGAUUAAAACAUUAAGAAGUGAGGGGAAAGGUGGGUCUGACAUGAGAAUUCUGAAAAACCUCUGAAUAACUAGUAUUUCAACAUUAGUAGAGAGGACAAAGUGACCACUAGACUGAAACCAAUGUCGACAAUGAGACCAGACAGAGAGCACUGAAAAGAUAUCUAAACAAAGAGACAAGUACCAGAUGUGAAAAAUGAGCAAGGUAUAAACAAUCUGAAUAGAAUAACAAGGGGAAAAUAGGAGUUUGAAGUGCGAGAACAGUAAUUCAAAGUAUUGAAGAGUAAGUUAAACAUGCUAAAUAAACUACAUGUCACCACGACGGAAACGUUUUAUUUUACAUGGUUGAAACACCAAUUCUGAGAACUGCUUGUAAAGGUUACACAAGAAGCAAAAAAUAAGAAAAACAACAAAAGCCAAAACACAAAGAUUGGAAUGCAUAUAAAAGAUUACAGCUGAGCAAUGGCACAUAUAUUGGUGGGGCCAGUUUAAUUCACCAGUGUGGUAGAUGGUUUAAAGUUGAGAACAUUUGCACAUUAAAUAAACUUCUUAUUCCAUUUGAUACAAAA